ACUCUCACCCCUAGCUCCCAAAGCUAGGAUUCUAAA
rnacentral:tRNA from 1 species